AUACGUAAGGAGCAAGCGUUGUCCGGAUUUACUGGGCGUAAAGAGCUCGUAGGCGGCCGAUCAGGUCUCGCGUAAAAUCCCCCGGCUCAACCGGGGAGGGUCGCGGGAAACCGGCCGGCUUGAGGACAGAAAAGGAAAGUGGAAUUCCCGGUGUAGCGGUGAAAUGUGUAGAUAUCGGGAGGAACACCAGUGGUGAAGACGGCUUUCUGGUCUGUUGCUGACGCUGAGGAGCGAAAGCCAGGGGAGCGAACCGGAUUAGAUACCCGGGUAGUCCUGGCCGUAAACGAUGGAUACUAGGUGUGGGAGGUUCGACCCCUUCCGUGCCGCAGCUAACGCAUUAAGUAUCCCGCCUGGGGAGUACGGCCGCAAGGUUGAA
rnacentral:rRNA from 1 species